rnacentral:pre_miRNA from 1 species
CAAAAGAGAAACCCUGAUUUCCGUGUCCAACGUUUGACCGUCCGUCUUAUUUAAAAAAAUUAUGAAAAAAAUUAAAAAGACAAGUCACACAUAAAAUAUUAAUCAUGUUUUAUCAUCUAACAACAAUGAAAAUACAAAUUAUAAAAAAAAAUAUAUAAGACGGACAAUUAAAGUUGGACACGGAAACCCAGGGUUUGCCUUUUU